UUGGGAGAGCUCGGCUGGUCUGGGUCCAGGGAGAGGGGACUGGUGGGGACUGGAGAAGAGCCUGGCCUGGGGGAGAGGUGUGGUGGGGGAUGGGGAGGCCCUCGAGGAGUUUGCCUUCUGCUCAGCCACCACCAUAACAGGAGUCCUGCCAGGCGCUGGCAUUCUGAAUUCUAAGGCCAGGACACAGACACUUCGCAAAGCCCCAGUGAGAAGUUUGAGAGGGGCCGGGUCCCGGGCCUGGGUCGGCAUGUCCCUAGAUGUGGAAGAGAAAGGAACCUGAGCAAUGGCUGAGGAAAAAGAGCUCCCACCGCAGGAUUUGGGCCUGGCAUACAGUUACUUUGGACUUCCACACCAUUCCCCAUCUCCUCACUUUUCUCCCUGCCGGCAUAAGAGGAUGGGGGAGAGAAAUCUGGACAGGAUUAGUUUUCCCUGCAUCUUCCAGAUGUCCGCCAUGAAUAAGGAAAGUGAAUGCUCUGGGUAAGAGUGGAGUAUGUCGAAGGAACGGUACUCGGCAGUAAAGAGGAACGAUCUGCUGAUCUGCACAACAUGGGUAGGUCUCAAAAUGACCUGUUGGGCGACAGACGUUAGACAAGAGCACCCAGUGUAGGAUUCCAUUCACAUAACAUUCCAGAAAAGGAAAACUGAUCUCUAGAGACAGAAAGCAGGUCAGUGGCUACCGGGGGUGCAGGGAGUGGGGUAGAGAUGGGAGGAGCAGGAGGGAGAGAUGGGUCACAAAGGGCACAGGGACACUUGGGUGUGAUGGGUGUUAUCUGGAUUCUAGUGAUGUUAAACCAUAAGCUAUGGACAUACACCAAGCUUAUCAAAUUGUAUACUUGAAAUGUGUGCAGUGAACUGCAUGGCAAUUAUACUUCAAUAAAG